rnacentral:rRNA from 1 species
CCUACGGGCGGCAGCAGUGGGGAAUAUUGGACAAUGGGGGGAACCCUGAUCCAGCCAUGCCGCGUGUGUGAAGAAGGCCCUCGGGUUGUAAAGCACUUUCAGUGAGGAAGAACGCCUGGUGGUUAAUACCCAUCAGGAAAGACAUCACUCACAGAAGAAGCACCGGCUAACUCCGUGCCAGCAGCCGCGGUAAUACGGAGGGUGCGAGCGUUAAUCGGAAUUACUGGGCGUAAAGUGCGCGUAGGUGGCUUGAUAAGCCGGUUGUGAAAGCCCCGGGCUCAACCUGGGAACGGCAUCCGGAACUGUCAAGCUAGAGUGCAGGAGAGGAAGGUAGAAUUCCCGGUGUAGCGGUGAAAUGCGUAGAGAUCGGGAGGAAUACCAGUGGCGAAGGCGGCCUUCUGGACUGACACUGACACUGAGGUGCGAAAGCGUGGGUAGCAAACAGGAUUAGAUACCCUGGUAGUC